rnacentral:tRNA from 2 species
GCUCUCUUGGUGGAACUGGUAGACACUCGAGACUUAAAAUCUCGUGGCCCUAGGCCGUGCCGGUUCGAGUCCGGCAGAGAGCACCA